AGAGUUUGAUCCUGGCUCAGGACGAACGCUGGCGGCGUGCCUAACACAUGCAAGUCGAAACGGGGCCCAACUGGUGGCAACACCAGGAAAGGCCGAGUGGCGAACGGGUGCGUAACACGUGAGCAACCCACCCCGAAGACCGGGAUAACACCGGGAAACCGGUGCUAAUACCGGAUGCCGUCUCCGAACCGCAUGAUCUGGAGACGAAAGGAUUCCGCUUCGGGACGGGCUCGCGGCCUAUCAGCUCGUUGGUGGGGUAACGGCCUACCAAGGCUUCGACGGGUAGCUGGUCUGAGAGGACGAUCAGCCACACUGGGACUGAGACACGGCCCAGACUCCUACGGGAGGCAGCAGUGGGGAAUCUUGCGCAAUGGGCGAAAGCCUGACGCAGCAACGCCGCGUGCGGGAAGACGGCCUUAGGGUUGUAAACCGCUUUCAGCAGGGACGAAACUGACGGUACCUGCAGAAGAAGCUCCGGCUAACUACGUG
rnacentral:rRNA from 1 species